CGGCCUCGGGUCCAUCCCGAGGCCACGCCCCGUUUAGGGUCGGCG
rnacentral:rRNA from 1 species